rnacentral:lncRNA from 1 species
AGGGAUUUAGAUUUAGAUAUAGACAGACAUCAUUUUGAUACACUGGUAUCGUGCCCAUCAUCAAUAUUAGAUGUAUUACAAUUAUUUCAUUCUAUAAAACUUAUAUAAUUUUAAUUUUCAACACUGAAUUAUAUAGAAUGUUGAAUGGAAAAAUAAGGUUUGCCUAAGGCUGUUCACCAUUUCUGUUUUUUUAUUUUUGAUUAACUUUUUAGAAACAGUCUUAAAAUUAGAGAAAAGUUCUGGGCGUGGUGGCUCACGCCUGUAAUCCCAGCACUUUGGGAGGCUGAGUGGGGUGGAUCACCUGAGGUCAGGAGUUCGAGACCAGCCUGACCAACAUGGUGAAACCCCAUCUCUACUAAAUACAAAAAAUUAGCUGGGUGCGGUAGCUCAUGCCUGUAAUCUCAGCUGCUUGGAAGGCUGAGGCAGGAGAAUCGCUUUAACCUGGCAGACAGAGGUUGCAGUGAGCUGAGAUUACACCAUUGCUCUCCAGCCUGGACAACAAGAGUGAAACUCCAUCUCAAAACAAAAACAAAAACAAACAAAAAUUAGAGAACAGUUCCAAGUUUUCAUACAAACAACUUUUUCCCUUGCAGCCACUUGAGAAUAAAUUGCUGACAUUACCCCAUCACCCCUGAUUACUUUAGUGAGUGUUUCUACAAGUCAGGGCAUUCUUAUAUAAGUACAAUCCAAUUUUCAUAAUCAGAAAGUAACAUGAAUACAUUCUAUCAUGUUAUCCUCAGAUUCUUUUCAAGUUGUAUUACUUGUCUAUAAUGUCCUUUAUAGCAAAAGAAUCCCAUUCAGAACCAUGGAUUGCAUUUAGUUGUCAUGUCUCUUAGGUUCUUUAGAACAGAUCCUCAGUCUUUUCUUAGCCUUCAUGACCUUGAAUCUUUUGAAGAAUAAAGUCCAGUAAUGUAGAAGCUUCCUCAGCUGAGUUUCUCUGAUGUUUCUUAUGAUUACUUAGAUCAUAUGUUUUUGAUGAGUAUCUUAUGAUCUCAUUGCAUCCUAUCACGUGACCUAAAAUUUUGAUUUGUCAUGUUACUGGUGACGUUAGCCUUGAUCACCAAUAGUGUUAUUUUCUGGGUUUCUCCUGUUAUGUUACUUUUUCACCUUGUAAUUAGUAGUUUGUGGGGAGGAGAUUUGAGACUUUGUAAAUAUAUUUGUUCCUCAUUGAACUUUCAA